rnacentral:lncRNA from 1 species
UAAAUAUUACAUAAUUAAUAAUCAAAGUACGCGUGUACGAUACAGUUUUAAAAAUAGCGCCUAAUAUACAUCGAUAUGACAUCGUAACUGUAAAUCGAGAAUUUCGCGUGGACAAAUGUAAACAGGAUCGAAAACGUUCAGUGCUUCGACCUACCUCAAUAAUAUUUGCAUUACCUAUCCCAGCACUUCGACGAAUAAAAAGAAGAAGAAAUAGAUACAUACCCAAACAUCAAUUUCUGGACCAGCGUAAUGUUUUCCUCUAAAUACUUCUGGAGCAGCGUAAGGAGGGCUUCCGCACCAUGUACUCAAUCGCUCUCCAGUUAGAUGACAUCGACGGUGGCAGUCUUUUCAAAACUGAUCAUUGUGAAUGAGAACGCGGAGGAAAGAAAAGAAAGAAAGAAAAAGAAAAAGAAAAGAAAAAAGAAUUCAAACGAGAUGAGAAUGGAAGGUGAUCAUAAACGUGCAAGUAAGAACUGGCACGAAGAAGAGCAAAGAACGAA